AUGGGAUUCAAAUCAAAAGCAAUUUUUCAUUCAUUAUUCAAGAAAUCACUCAAGAGCACAACAGAAGAAUCAAGAGGCUCUCAAGUUCAAACUCUUCUCCCUCUCUCCCAAGAACUCACCGACCGGCCUCCCUCCCCUUCUCCGGCCGACUGCAUCGCCUUGCCCAGUUGUCCGCCCUCCUCACUGUCCGGUCAAGUCUUCGCUGGCAUACACCCCUGUUCCGGCCUCUCUCUCGGCGAUACUCCCUUCAUCUUCGCAUACUCCCUCCGUUUUCUAAUUCCGGUCAAGCUUCCUCCUCUGAUCAAUUCUUCGCGUCAAUUUUGGUAUAAUUCUUGA